rnacentral:rRNA from 1 species
AUACGGAGGAUCCGAGCGUUAUCCGGAUUUAUUGGGUUUAAAGGGAGCGUAGGUGGACAGUUAAGUCAGUUGUGAAAGUUUGCGGCUCAACCGUAAAAUUGCAGUUGAUACUGGCUGUCUUGAGUACAGUCGAGGAGGGCGGAAUUCGUGGUGUAGCGGUGGAAUGCUUAGAUAUCACGAAGAACUCCGAUUGCGAAGGCAGCUCACUGGACUGCAACUGACACUGAUGCUCGAAAGUGUGGGUAUCAAACAGGAUUAGAUACCCUGGUAGUCCACACAGUAAACGAUGAAUACUCGCUGUUUGCGAUAUACAGUAAGCGGCCAAGCGAAAGCAUUAAGUAUUCCACCUGGGGAGUACGCCGGCAACGGUGAAACUCAAAGGAAUUGACGGGG